AAAAGCCAUAAAACUGGUAACAUAAAACUGCAUUUUCAUAAACCUCACUUCUUGAACUUCUUCCGUGACUCACAACACUACACUGCAAUGUCUCUUUUUUGGUUGAGCUUCUGUUUUGCUGGGAUCCUUUUCUCAGCUGAACUUUUUGUUUCCCAACAAGAAUCAGUAAGAGUGGAGAGUGAUCCACCGCCAGAUUGCAAUGGAUUGAAAUGCAGUUUUGGAACUCAGUUUUGUACAAUAUGCUGCAAUGGACAAGGAUCUAAACAGGGUGUAUGUGUCAGGAAAGGAACCUUUUUUGUUUGUCAUUGUCAAUGAAUUUUCGUCAAAAAAUAAAUAAAAUGCAUCCUUUAAAUACUAGUUUUAUUACAAUAACAAAUCAUUUAUAGGAGUUUGAAUAAUUAUAUAUGAAGUAGAUUCAAUUUUAAUUAUGAUCUACCAAUUGUUAUUUUUAAGUUUCAACAGUUAAUCAUUAAAUGACGAAUCGAAAAUAAAACUGACUGUUAAUACUAAAUAAACGAGUGAAAUAAUUGGUUUGACGUAUCUCUAAAACAUAUAACAACAUUUCAUAAAUAAUUAAUUUGAUCCAAUAAAAUUAAUAAUAAAUUCAUAAAUAAUUAACACUAUCGCACUUCCUCUCACUGAUCCAUACUCCAAUCUAUCUAUUUCUUUCCCCUCUUUUUUCAUCAUCCCAUUUAGGCUUCAUUCCAUGAAAUACUUAUACAUUCAUCUUCUUUACAAUUGCUUAAACUUCCUCCUGCAUUUCAUUGAUCGAUACGCUUCAUCUUUCCUGAAUGUUGAAUCACACUUUUUCAAUUCAUGUCUACAUUUUCUGUAUUCAAGAGAGACCUCUAUUAGUAGUAAAUAUGUAUUUCAUUCUUUCCUUUCUCUCUCAUGUUUUCCCUAAUUAAUAAUAUAGUUUUUGUACUUUUUUUCCCUUUCAUGAUUUUGCCUAAAUAGCUUAACAAAGAGUUUCCUUCAUUUUCAUUUUAUUACAAACCGAUGGGGAAAUACCCCGCUUGAUGAAGCCCGGAUGUGUGGAAAUCUGAUUAAAAUUCCAUUAGUUAAAAACAACUUGGUAUGCUAAUUAGUUUAUACUAACCUUGUUACCUGCUGAAUCAAUACGUAUUUUUUUUUAAUUAGUAGAACAUAGAUCAGCUAAUAAUAUAGUACUCUGUUAAAAGAUAUUGAAGUGCAUAGAGUCCUAAGCAUGGUUGAUGACAACUACUUAUGGUUGAGAUUUGAUAGCAUUUUUUUCUAUGAAUAGUUCAGUGAGUAAUUAUGACGAAUUAGAUGGAGAUAAAAUUGAGAUGACUAUUAAUAAUAGACCCAGCUAGUAAACGACAUUAAUUCCUUCACUGAUGGAAAAUGAUGGUUUUACAGUUGUAGUACGAACAUAAAACAAAUAUUUUUUUCAAGUGUUAAAAGGAGUAAGUACUUACAAAUGCUAAUAUAUUUAAUUAUGAAAUACAUUUUAAUUUAUGGUCAAUUAUAGUUUUUUAUUAUUAUACACUUCAUUUAGUAUUAUUACUCCCCCUUUUAAUUCUUGAUCAUUUGCUUGGAGGAUCUGUGAUAUCAUUCUUUUGUUGACUGUAUUAUUAAACUUGUAUGCAUUUUGUGGCAGUCAGGAAUUGUUUGAGGCAGUAGAGCAGGAGAAGGAAGUUGAGGGUUGCCACAUCAAGAAAUGCUACUAUUUUUCAUCACCCUGCAUUUAAUGAUUUUGAAUUGCAGCACUUGCGCAUGAAUGUAAAUGAUAUUGAGCUUGAAGAGCAAAUUAUUCAACAUUUAGCUGUUGCUGCAGUAAUGAGGAGAGCAGACCAACUUGGCCGUAGGGCAGGACGACAAGCUAAUUCAUCACCUCGUGGUCAUCCACACUCAUUAGUGUUAUCUAAUAUAGCACCUGCUGAAGAGGAAAAUGACCAAACGAGAAUUCCUAAUAAAAGUGCAUCUACUCCAAUAAAAUCUAAGAGAAAUGGAGCAUUGCAACAGAUGCUGCGAGUUCGAACUCAAAGCUCUUCUUCAGCUUCUGGAUCUAGUAUUUGCUCCAAUGAUAGGUCAUUAUGGCCAUAUUAUUUAUUUGCUCAACUCAUUCUCCUAUCAUUGACAUUAUGUGCUUUAGAAUUUAGGGUUAAGGCUUAACUCAACUCACAAAAGUGACUUGUACGAGAAGGAUUGCUCUUAAGUUAUAAGAACUACGUUGACCUCA